GGGCUUGUGGUUUAGUGGUAUAAUACUCCCUUAGCACUUCUAGCACAUCUAGGACAGCUUGGGAGUGGUCCAGGGUUCGAUUCCCUGCAAGUCCA